GGAAACAGAUGCUCAUAGAAGGGGAGUGAUUUGCCCAGGAUAAGCCAGGUGGUCAGCGGCAGAUCCAGGACCAGAAGCUAAUCUCCUGACUCCUAGUCCAGUGAUAUUUUUACUCCAUCACUUACUAUUCAUGAAACAUGUAAAAAGACAGGGAUGGAAAAGCAAACUGACGCCUGCAUUGAAUGACUUCUUGAAGGUACUGGGGCUACAGAGUGGUGAACUUUGCCAUCAUAGAGAUGACGUUCUCGUAGGGAAUGGAGAUGUAGUGGUGAUUGCUAUGAAGAAAAAUGCAGAAAAGCAGGGUGGUGAGCUUCUUGCAUGUUACCCUUCAUAUACCAGGUCCUUGAAAGAGGGAUGAUGGUGAUGAGGACGAUGACGAUGGUUUCUACCGAGUCAAAAA